rnacentral:rRNA from 1 species
AGAGUUUGAUCCUGGCUCAGAACGAACGUUGGCGGCGUGGAUUAGGCAUGCAAGUCGAACGAAUCCCUGGGGGCAACUCUGGGGGGAAGUGGCGAAAGGGGCAGUAAGGCAUGGGUAACCUACCCCGGGGACUGGGAUAGCCAUUCUAACGAGUGGGUAAUACCGGGCGAUGUAACGAGGGGGCAUCUUCUUGUUACGAGAUGAAUUUCGCCUCGGGAGGGGCUCAUGUAGUAUUAGCUAGUUGGUAGGGUAACGGCCUACCAAGGCUGAGAUGCUUAGCGGGUGUGAGAGCACGACCCGCGCCACUGGCACUGAGACACUGGCCAGACUCCUACGGGAGGCUGCAGUCGAGGAUCUUCGGCAAUGGGCGCAAGCCUGACCGAGCGACGCCGCGUGUGCGAUGAAGGCCUUCGGGUUG